GAGAAUUGGACUGGUGGACAGAUAAAAAUGCCGGAGGGAGAUGUGGCUGAUGCUGAAGACUGGUGGCAGCGAUCCUUGGCGCCACAUACUAAGAAAGAAAGAAGAUCAGUGGGGGCCUAUCUAAUGUUCACCGCUUGGAACAUUUGGAAGGCGAGAAAUCGCUGAGUGUUCGAAGGAAGAAGCCAACAAUAGACGCAGGUGUUGGCCAUGAUCAAGGAAGACAUAAAUCAGUGCCAUAGUGCGUGUGGUAGCCCUGAAUUGGGCUAGUGUAUCCUCUUUUAUUAAUGUUAGAGUUCAGAGAGACCAUUUAUUUAUGUAAUAUCAC
rnacentral:lncRNA from 1 species